CUUAACACAUGCAAGUCGAGGGGCAGCACAAGGCAGCAAUGCUGAGGUCGGCGACCGGCGCACGGGUGCGUAACGCGUAUCCAACCUUCCCGUUACUCUUGGAUAGCCUUCCGAGAGGGAGAUUAAUACAAGAUGGUGUUGAAAUUCCGCAUGUUAUUUCAACUAAAGAUUUAUCGGUAACGGAUGGGGAUGCGUGACAUUAGAUAGAUGGCGGGGUAACGGCCCACCAUGUCCACGAUGUCUAGGGGUUCUGAGAGGAAGGUCCCCCACACUGGAACUGAGACACGGUCCAGACUCCUACGGGAGGCAGCAGUGAGGAAUAUUGGUCAAUGGCCGGAAGGCUGAACCAGCCAAGUAGCGUGAAGGAUGAAGGUUCUAUGGAUUGUAAACUUCUUUUAUACGGGAAUAAAACCUCCCACGUGUGGGAGCUUGUAUGUACCGUAUGAAUAAGCAUCGGCUAACUCCGUG
rnacentral:rRNA from 1 species